UUUCCAUCCUUAAGGUUGUAUGAUUUUUCUUAGGAAAAAACUAAAUGCAAAAGGUAGAAUCAGGGUUGGAAAGCAUCACGAUUUAUUUCCUUUAAUGAAAAGCGAAUUUCCUUGCCUUUUAAAAUAGGCAGACUUGACAACAAACACACCCUCUCUCCCCCUCCGUGUGAAGUCUGCCUUCCUGCCUUGUCCAGUGCUGCUCUGCGCAGUCUCUUCAUCUUUUGCUCCCUCCCCUCUCUCUGCUUCCCGUGGACAUGUGUCCAGGUCCUUUGGACUUCUGUAUGUCCUCACGGUCAGCUAGCCCUCUUCUGGCCUCUCAGCGUAUCGUCAACCUCCCUUUAUGGUUUCUUUUCUCUCCCAAUUCUAGGUUGAUAGGUUGUUGACAAACACCAGGUGACUAGCUUUUAAUGUCCUAUAUAACUAAUGACUUAGGAAUCAAUCCAGAGGAAACUAGGUCUGUGAAGUGUCAGGUUUUGUUAACCAGUGGAUGAUAGGUAACUCAUCCAAUGACCGAGCCAACCCUGGGCCAGUACUAGAGAUCAGAUUGCUGCAGCCUAGUGUGCAGCCUAGUGUGCACCUGAGGCUAUGAAGAGCAAAGUAAAAAUUUCACUGGCUAGUAAAAAAGAUAUCAGACAAUUUAAGCAAGUGAAAAGCGUGUAAGCUUUGCUAGUUUGAUCAUUCAAGACAAGAGACAAACUGUUUCAGGAUGCUACCUUAGUUGGUGUUCGGUACCAGCAAAGCAGGGGUAUCCACUGUUUCUUCUGAUUGAUGAAGAGGAAUGCUAUUAUAGCAGAGAGGCCCAGGAUGAUGGGGACCACCACCGAGGCGAUGCUGUCGAGCGAAGAGUCUUCGACUGGGUGUCGCCUGUUGUUAUCUCCGUAAUCUACCUGGAGGUGACCCAUUUCUAGG